GACGAACGCUGGCGGCGUGCUUAACACAUGCAAGUCGAACGGAAAGGCCCUGCUUUUGUGGGGUGCUCGAGUGGCGAACGGGUGAGUAACACGUGAGUAACCUGUCCUUGACUUUGGGAUAACUUCAGGAAACUGGGGCUAAUACCGGAUAGGAGCUCCUGCUGAAUGGUGGGGGUUGGAAAGUUUCGGCGGUUGGGGAUGGACUCGCGGCUUAUCAGCUUGUUGGUGGGGUAGUGGCUUACCAUGGCUUUGACGGGUAGCCGGCCUGAGAGGGUGACCGGCCACAUUGGGACUGAGAUGCGGCCCAGACUCCUACGGGAGGCAGCAGUGGGGAAGAUUGCACAAUGGGCGGAAGCCUGAUGCAGCAACGCCGCGUGCGGGAUGACGGCCUUCGGGUUGUAAACCGCUUUCGCCUGUGACGAAGCGUGAGUGACGGUAAUGGGUAAAGAAGCACCGGCUAACUACGUG
rnacentral:rRNA from 1 species